GAUGAACGCUGGCGGCGUGCCUAAUACAUGCAAGUCGAGCGAACAGAUGAGGAACUUGCUCCUCUGACGUUAGCGGCGGGCGGGAGAGUAACAUGUGGAGAACCUACCUAUAAGACUGGGAUAACUACGGGAAACCGGAGCUAAUACCGGAUAAUAUAUUGGACCGCAUGGUUCAAUAGUGAAUGACGGGUUUGCUGUCACUUAUAGAUGGAUCCGCGCCGCAUUAGCUAGUUGGUAAGGUAACGGCUUACCAACGCAACGAUGCGUAGCCGACCUGAGGGGGUGAUCGGCCACCCUGGAAGUGAGACACGUCCCAGACUCCUACGGGAGGCAGCAGUAGGGAAUCUUCCGCAAUGGGGGAAAGCCUGACGGAGCAACGCCGCGUGAGUGAUGAUGGUCCUCGGAUCGUAGAACUCUGUUAUUAGGAGAGAACAAAUGUGUAAGUAGCUAUGCACGUAUUGACGGUACCUAAUCAGAAAGCCACGGCUAACUACGUG
rnacentral:rRNA from 1 species